rnacentral:lncRNA from 1 species
UGCCAUAGACAAUACCACUAAAUUUUAUUUCUUGCUAAAUCAAGAGAUUAAGUUCACUCCUAGAAAUUAACAAGUUUUACUAGUACUUUUUCUAUCUAAUCUACAUCCAGUGAAAUCUGCAUCUGAGUAACCUAUUAAAUCAAUAGAAGAUUGCUUAGAAAACCAGUCCUAGAUUUUGUGUUCUUUUUAGGUAUUUAAAAUUUUUUUUAACAGCAUUUAAGUGAGAUUCCUAAGGAUUUGACUGAAAUCUAGC